rnacentral:rRNA from 1 species
CCUUCAGAGGGGGACAACAGUUGGAACGACUGCUAAUACCGCAUACGAUCUAAUCUCGGCAUCGAGGAUAGAUGAAAGGUGGCCUCUACAUGUAAGCUAUCACUGAAGGAGGGGAUUGCGUCUGAUUAGCUAGUUGGAGGGGUAACGGCCCACCAAGGCGAUGAUCAGUAGCCGGUCUGAGAGGAUGAACGGCCACAUUGGGACUGAGACACGGCCCAGACUCCUACGGGAGGCAGCAUG